rnacentral:rRNA from 1 species
UAAGAGAGUUUGAUCCUGGCUCAGGAUGAACGCUGGCGGUAUGCCUAACACAUGCAAGUCGUACGAGAGUUUUUAACUCUAGUGGCGGACGGGUGAGUAACACGUGAGAAUUUGCCUUUAGGAGGGGGAUAACAAUUGGAAACGAAUGCUAAUACCCCAUAUGCUUUCGAGUGAAAUGGAUUUAUAUUUAUCCGCCUAAAGAGAAGCUCGCGGCUGAUUAGCUUGUUGGUAAGGUAAGAGCUUACCAAGGCGACGAUCAGUAUCUGGUUUGAGAGGACGAUCAGACACACUGGAACUGAGACACGGUCCAGACUCCUACGGGAGGCAGCAGUGGGGAAUUUUCCGCAAUGGGCGAAAGCCUGACGGAGCAAUACCGCGUGAGGGAAGACUGCCUAUGGGUUGUAAACCUCUUUUUUCAGGGAGGAAUAAAUGACGUGUACCUGAAGAAUAAGCAUCGGCUAACUCCGUGCCAGCAGCCGCGGUAAUACGUAGGGCGCAAGCGUUGUCCGGAAUUAUUGGGCGUAAAGAGCUUGUAGGCGGUUUGUCGCGUCUGCUGUGAAAGACCGGAGCUUAACUCCGUGUAUUGCAGUGGGUACGGGCAGACUAGAGUGCAGUAGGGGAGACUGGAAUUCCUGGUGUAGCGGUGGAAUGCGCAGAUAUCAGGAGGAACACCGAUGGCGAAGGCAGGUCUCUGGGCUGUAACUGACGCUGAGAAGCGAAAGCAUGGGGAGCGAACAGGAUUAGAUACCCUGGUAGUCCAUGCCGUAAACGUUGGGCACUAGGUGUGGGGGACAUUCCACGUUUUCCGCGCCGUAGCUAACGCAUUAAGUGCCCCGCCUGGGGAGUACGGCCGCAAGGCUAAAACUCAAAGAAAUUGACGGGGGCCCGCACAAGC